UACGAAGGGGGCUAGCGUUGCUCGGAAUCACUGGGCGUAAAGGGUGCGUAGGCGGGUCUUUAAGUCAGGGGUGAAAUCCUGGAGCUCAACUCCGGAACUGCCUUUGAUACUGAGGAUCUUGAGUUCGGGAGAGGUGAGUGGAACUGCGAGUGUAGAGGUGAAAUUCGUAGAUAUUCGCAAGAACACCAGUGGCGAAGGCGGCUCACUGGCCCGAUACUGACGCUGAGGCACGAAAGCGUGGGGAGCAAACAGG
rnacentral:rRNA from 1 species